rnacentral:rRNA from 1 species
UACAGAGGUCUCAAGCGUUGUUUGGAUUCAUUGGGCGUAAAGGGUGCGUAGGCGGCGCGGUAAGUCGGGUGUGAAAUCUCGGAGCUUAACUCCGAAACUGCAUUCGAUACUGCCGUGCUUGAGGACUGGAGAGGAGACUGGAAUUUACGGUGUAGCGGUGAAAUGCGUAGAUAUCGUAAGGAAGACCAGUGGCGAAGGCGGGUCUCUGGACAGUUCCUGACGCUGAGGCACGAAGGUCAGGGGGAGCAAACGGG